UACAGAGGUCUCAAGCGUUGUUCGGAUUCAUUGGGCGUAAAGGGUGCGCAGGUGGCGCGGCAAGUCGGAUGUGAAAUCCCGGGGCUCAACCCCGGAACUGCAUUCGAUACUGCCGUGCUAGAGUGCUGGAGAGGAGAUUGGAAUUUACGGUGUAGCAGUGGAAUGCGUAGAUAUCAGGAGGAACACCGAUGGCGAAGGCAGGUCUUUGGGCCGAUACUGACGCUGAGGAGCGAAAGCGUGGGGAGCGAACAGG
rnacentral:rRNA from 1 species